UACGUAGGGUGCGAGCGUUGUCCGGAAUUAUUGGGCGUAAAGGGCUCGUAGGCGGUUUGUCGCGUCGGGAGUGAAAACCCAGGGCUUAACCCUGGGCUGGCUUCCGAUACGGGCAGACUAGAGGUAUGCAGGGGAGAACGGAAUUCCUGGUGUAGCGGUGAAAUGCGCAGAUAUCAGGAGGAACACCGGUGGCGAAGGCGGGUCUCUGGGCCGAAACUGACGCUGAGGAGCGAAAGCGUGGGGAGCAAACAGG
rnacentral:rRNA from 1 species